GGAGUCCUGCUUGCUCUCAGCCUUCCUUCUUUCCUCUAGAUGGGAUGUAGAUGAGAUGGUUGAAGCUCCAGCAGUCAUGGUGGAUCAUGAGGAAACUCUGAGGAUGGAAACAACGUGCUUGGAGAAAAGGAAACGGAAGUCUGGAGAAAUGAUGCAGGUGGCUAUCAAGGCCCAAGAUGAUCUUGGAAGCUGCAGGCUGAAGAUGGCAGGGCCUGAGUCCCUGAGCUACUGUGUGGAGUAGAGCCCCACCUCCUUCUGACCAGGAAUAUAGGCAUUGGCAGUUACUGGGCUGAAUUAUGUUCCUGCCAAGAGCUGUGUCUAAGUCCUCAUCCCCAGUACGUGAGAAUGUGACUUUAUUUAAAAAUAGCAUUAUUGAAGAUGUAUUGAAAUUAAGGAUCUAGACUUGAAAUCAUCUUGGAUUUAGGGUGGGCCUUAAAUCCAAUGAUGAGUGUUCUUAGACAGAAAAGGAGGAGAUGCAGAGAGACACAGAGAAGAGAUGAUGUGAAGCCUGAGGUAGAGAUUGGGACAAUGCAUCUACAAGUCAAGGUUUGCCCCCAGCAGCCAGGAGUGAGGCAUGGAGCAUAUUUACCCUCAGAACCUCCAAGAGGAACCAACUUUUCCAACACCUUGAUUUUAGUCUCCUGGUCUCUGGAACUCUAAGAAAAUAAAUUUCUGUUGUUUUAAGCCA